CCCUUAGAUGUUCCGGGCUGCACGCGCGCUACAAUGAUGCAGGCAGUGAGGAGUGUACUUGACCGAGAGGUCUGGUUUCUUGCUCGUAAUCUGCAUCGUGCUGGGGAUAGAUCAUUGUAAUUAUUGAUCUUGAACGAGGAAUGCCUAGUAAGCGCGAGUCAUUAGCUCGCGCUGAUUACGUCCCUGCCCUUUGUACACACCGCCCGUCGCUCCUGCCGAUUGAGUGCUCAGGUGAAUAAUUCGGACUGCAGCAAUGUUUGGAUCCCGAACGUUGCAGCGGAAAGUUUAGUGAACCUUAUCACUUAGAGGAAGGAGAAGUCGUAACA
rnacentral:rRNA from 1 species